rnacentral:misc_RNA from 1 species
AGGGGUUUUGGGAUGGGGAAGUGAAGGGGAUAUUUAAUGUACCGCCGUUAUCGCCGUUAUCGCCGCACCCUUCGAUGGGAUAUUCUAGGCUCAUGGUUGUGUGAGAAGAAAGGGUAGCGUUGACUAUUCGUUGGGAUAUGUACUUUCUAAAUUGGGAAAGAUCGAUCAGAAGGCCAAGGAAAAAAAAAAUCCGGCGGCGUACAGAGUCUCAGAUGAUGUAGAAAUUAGGAAAUUUAGGGGUAAGAAUCAGCUGUAUGUGUAUAUAUAGUAGGAUAGUAUGGCGCAACGAGCAACUGUGAUUGCAUUUGUUGUGAACUUCUAAGAUUGCGAGAUUGUGUUUGUUCUUUCAUUUAAUUCAUAUAUUGGCAUCAACGUUUUUUCAUUCA